rnacentral:lncRNA from 1 species
GAAGCAGAUCAGGAGCCAAAGAAGCCCAUGAGCAAUUUCAGUUUGGAACAUGACUGAUACAAAGAAAGAUGAAUUAGACUAUGUGCAUCAAUAAGCUGAGCCCUGAGGACUUGGAAGUCUUGCUUUCUGCCAAUAUCCUCAGUGUUGGGUUUAGCAUCACUCACCAAACAAGACAGGAGAACAGUCUCCCAACAUGAACGUAUGCUCUUGAAUUUCUAAGCCAAUCUCAUUUAUGAAAAGUUAAGCACCCAUGACACAACUUGUGAUGGAUCC